UACGAAGGACCCAAGCGUUAUCCGGAUUUAUUGGGUUUAAAGGGUGCGUAGGCGGAUUAUUAAGUCAGUGGUGAAAGCCUUCAGCUUAACUGAAGAACUGCCAUUGAUACUGAUGAUCUUGAGUAUGAUUGAGGUGGGCGGAAUGUGUCAUGUAGCGGUGAAAUGCUUAGAUAUGACACAGAACACCGAUUGCGAAGGCAGCUCACUAAGUCAAUAACUGACGCUGAUGCACGAAAGCGUGGGGAGCAAACAGG
rnacentral:rRNA from 1 species